rnacentral:rRNA from 1 species
UGGGGAAUAUUGGACAAUGGGCGAAAGCCUGAUCCAGCCAUGCCGCGUGUGUGAAGAAGGCCUUCGGGUUGUAAAGCACUUUAAGCGAGGAGGAAUGGCUCUGGGUUAAUACCCUUGAGCAGUGACGUUACUCGCAGAAUAAGCACCGGCUAACUCUGUGCCAGCAGCCGCGGUAAUACAGAGGGUGCAAGCGUUAAUCGGAAUUACUGGGCGUAAAGCGCGCGUAGGCGGUUACGUAAGUUGGAUGUGAAAUCCCCGGGCUCAACCUGGGAAUUGCAUUCAAAACUGCGUGGCUAGAGUGUGGGAGAGGAAGGUAGAAUUCCAGGUGUAGCGGUGAAAUGCGUAGAUAUCUGGAGGAAUACCGAUGGCGAAGGCAGCCUUCUGGCCUAACACUGACGCUGAGGUGCGAAAGCGUGGGGAGCAAACAGGAUUAGAUACCCCUGUAGUCCCUGAGCGGGCUGGCAAGGCGCAU